CCUACGGGCGGCAGCAGUGGGGAAUAUUGGGCAAUGGGCGAAAGCCUGACCCAGCAACGCCGCGUGAAGGAAGAAGGCUUUCGGGUUGUAAACUUCUUUUGACAGGGAAGAGCAGAAGACGGUACCUGUCGAAUAAGCCACGGCUAACUACGUGCCAGCAGCCGCGGUAAUACGUAGGUGGCAAGCGUUGUCCGAAUUUACUGGGGGUAAAGGGCGUGUAGCCGGGCUUACAAGUCAGAUGUGAAAUCCGGGGGCUCAACCCCCGAACUGCAUUUGAAACUGUUGGUCUUGAGUAUCGGAGAGGCAGGCGGAAUUCCUAGUGUAGCGGUGAAAUGCGUAGAUAUUAGGAGGAACACCAGUGGCGAAGGCGGCCUGCUGGACGACAACUGACGGUGAGGCGCGAAAGCGUGGGGAGCAAACAGGAUUAGAUACCCGAGUAGUC
rnacentral:rRNA from 1 species